UCACGUUCACAACUUGAUAUUGUCUUCUGCAUUUCUCACCUGAAAAACUUAUGUAUUUUUCUCUGAAAGGAAAGGAAGAAUAUGUAUGGAUGUAUGCAUUCUGUAUGCUAGGCAGCUUGCAGGGAAACAUGGACGUGCAAAGUCAACUGGCUGCAUCGAAGGAAAGGUCUUUUCACUCCUCUUCAUCCAGUUGUUUGGAGGGAAGUGGCUGUGCUCUGAAAGGGAGGAUGGAACAGCUCACCAGAUACCCAGGAAGUAUCCAAAAUUGGGCAGAAAAGGAAGAGAGUCAUUCCAAACUCAGUAGUAGCUGAACCAUUGUGCAUCUGCAAGGCAGCCUUGACAUGAAGACUGGGCAAAUUAAAUCACAGAGCAGUAGGAAAAUUUGGGAUGGAAAGGUCCUCUGGAGGUCAUCUGGGUCAGCCUCCUGGUGAACACAGGUAACUUCCAAGUUACAUCUGGUUGCUCACAGCCUUUCUUUUCUGGCUGCCUGGCACCUUACUUGAGAAUUUCCUGGGGUUUCAGUGACCUGUUUGAGUUCAUAGUGGUGUUUACCCUGCACGUGACCCAGUGCUGGAUGCAAGGUCUGUAAUCCUGGCUGCUAUAAAGAACAGAAAAAAAAGUCCUUGUCCAAAGAACUUUUUCUCUGGGGAUCACACCAGGAAAAGCAGAUGGGUACAGAUGUACAAAAGAGUACACAAAUAGAGUAUGGGCUGUAAGAAGCAUUGGAAAUAGGAAUUUCAGUAGCUAGUAUUGUGUUAAAAAGAAAGCAGUGCCAUCCCUGAAACACCCUGAGCAA